GCAUAUCAAUAAGCGGAGGAAAAGAAACCAACAGGGAUUGCCCCAGUAACGGCGAGUGAAGCGGCAACAGCUCAAAUUUGAAAUCCGGCCCCCGGGGCCCGAGUUGUAAUUUGCAGAGGAUGCUUCGGGCGAGGCGCCUUCCGAGUUCCCUGGAACGGGACGCCACAGAGGGUGAGAGCCCCGUCUGGUCGGACGCCGAGCCCGCGUGAAGCUCCUUCGACGAGUCGAGUAGUUUGGGAAUGCUGCUCAAAACGGGAGGUAUAUGUCUUCUAAAGCUAAAUACCGGCCAGAGACCGAUAGCGCACAAGUAGAGUGAUCGAAAGAUGAAAAGCACUUUGAAAAGAGGGUUAAAAAGUACGUGAAAUUGUUGAAAGGGAAGCGCCCGCGACCAGACUUGGGCCCGGCGGAUCACCCGGCGUUCUCGCCGGCGCACUCCGCCGGGCACAGGCCAGCAUCGGUCCGGCGCGGGGGACAAAGGCUCUGGGAACGUGGCUCCCCCGGGAGUGUUAUAGCCCACCGCGCAAUGCCCUGCGCCGGACCGAGGAACGCGCACCGCAAGGAUGCUGGCGUAAUGGUCGCCGGCGACCCGUCUUGAAACACGGACCAAGGAGUCGUCUUCGUAUGCGAGUGUUCGGGUGUCAAACCCCUACGCGGAAUGAAAGUGAACGCAGGUGAGAGCCUCGGCGCAUCAUCGACCGAUCCUGAUGUCCUCGGAUGGAUUUGAGUAGGAGCAUACGGGGCCGGACCCGAAAGAAGGUGAACUAUGCCUGCGUAGGGUGAAGCCAGAGGAAACUCUGGUGGAGGCUCGCAGCGGUUCUGACGUGCGAAUCGAUCGUCAAACGUGGGCAUGGGGGCGAAAGACUAAUCGAACCUUCUAGUAGCUGGUUUCCGCC
rnacentral:rRNA from 1 species